rnacentral:rRNA from 1 species
CAGUAGCCGCGGUAAUACAGAGGGUGCGAGCGUUAAUCGGAUUUACUGGGCGUAAAGCGUGCGUAGGCGGCUUCUUAAGUCGGAUGUGAAAUCCCUGAGCUUAACUUAGGAAUUGCAUUCGAUACUGGGAAGCUAGAGUAUGGGAGAGGAUGGUAGAAUUCCAGGUGUAGCGGUGAAAUGCGUAGAUAUCUGGAGGAAUACCGAUGGCGAAGGCAGCCAUCUGGCCUAAUACUGACGCUGAGGUACGAAAGCAUGGGGAGCAAACAGGAUUAGAGACCCCAGUAGUCCCUGUCUCUUAUAC